rnacentral:tRNA from 1 species
UCCUCCAUAGUUCAGUCCGGUAGAACGGCGGACUGUUAAUCCGUAUGUCACUGGUUCGAGUCCAGUUGGAGGAGCCA